AUUAGGCUUGGUCUGUGGCAGAAUGGUGCCCAAGCAGGGACCCCUGGACAGGAUGACAUGUCAUGCAAUAUUAAAAUGAAAAGUGACUUUGUGUGCUGGUAUAAGAAGAUCUUGAAGAUAGAGAUGACAGACCACCUGGACAAUGCUUCCUGAUCGUUUUUGUUAAAGUCUGGGAUGUCUUUGGCAUCUUCAUCUGCAUACCUUCUUUUGCUGCAGGAACACUCUGCUUGGACUGUCACCCUGAAUCGGGAGGCUCCUGGCACUUUGCCCUUCUGCUUGUUGACAUCCCCUGAAGGAGGAGUUCUCAGGACACAUCAGGUGAAUUCUAGCCAUAACAUCAGGCUCCAAAGAGUUUUCUAGCUAAUAAUGUCCACUAUUGAAGACGUUUCGUUCUUGUCUAUUUGCUGGAUGCCUGGGUUAGCAGAAGCUUGUCUAAGGAGUCACUGCCUGUGUUGAAGUGGGCUCUGCAGUGAAAUAGCUGUUGGGAAGUUACCCAAGCUCCUGUAAGUAACCUCACACUGGACUCCUUAGCAACCCCGAAGGAAGCUCAGUAGAUCCUCAAGUUGAAUGUCUGCACAGUUG
rnacentral:lncRNA from 1 species